GACGAACGCUGGCGGCGUGCUUAACACAUGCAAGUCGAACGAAAAGGCCCUGCUCUUGUGGGGUGCUCGAGUGGCGAAAACGUGAGUAUAACGUGUGUAACCUGCCCUCAUCUUUGGGGUAAAUUAACGAGACUGGGGUUAAUACAGGGUAUGAGCCCCUGCUGCGUGGUGGGGGUUGGAGAGUUUCGGCGGUUGGGGCUGGACUCGCGGCUUAUCAGCUUGUUGGUGGGGUAGUGGCUUACCACGGCUUUGAAGGGUAGCCGGCCUGAGAGGGGGACCGGCGACAUUGGGACUGAGAGACGGACCAGUCUCCAACGUGAGGCAGCAGUGGGGAAUAUUGCACAGUGGGCGGGAGCGUGAUGCAGCGGCGCUGCGUGCGGGAUGACGUCCUUUGGGUUGUAAACCGCUUUCGCCUGUGACGAAGCGGGAGUGACGGUAAUGAGUAAAGAAGCACCGGCUAACUACGUG
rnacentral:rRNA from 1 species